AAUGAACGUUGGCGGCGUGGAUUAGGCAUGCAAGUCGAACGCGUGUAGCAAUACACGAGUGGCGAAAGGGACAGUAAUGUGUAGAUACGUACCCUCCGGUCUGGGAUAGUCCAUCGAAAGGUGGGGUAAUACCAGAUAAUGUCUCCGGACCAAAGGUGUGAUUCCACCGGUGGAGCGAUCUGCAUCCUAUUAGCUUGUUGGCGGGGUAAUGGCCCACCAAGGCAAUGAUGGGUAGCGGGUGUGAGAGCACGACCCGCGUCACUGGGACUGAGAUACUGCCCAGACACCUACGGGUGGCUGCAGUCGAGGAUCUUCGGCAAUGGACGCAAGUCUGACCGAGCGACGCCGCGUGCGGGAUGAAGGCUUUCGGGUUGUAAACCGCUGUCAGUGGGGAGGAAAUUUAUGAGGGUACUCUCUCAUAAUUGACCUAUCCGCAGAGGAAGCAAGGGCUAAGUUCGUGCCAGCAGCCGCGGUAACAC
rnacentral:rRNA from 1 species